rnacentral:tRNA from 1 species
GGGGUCGUCAGAUAAUUGGUUAAUCUAUUGUGUUUGCAUCACAAGAAUCUGGAUUCGAGUUCCAGCGUCUCCA